AUUGAACGCUGGCGGCAUGCCUUACACAUGCAAGUCGAAUGGUAACAGGUUAAGCUGACGAGUGGCGAACGGGUGAGUAAUAUAUCGGAACGUGCCCAGUCGUGGGGGAUAACUGCUCGAAAGAGCAGCUAAUACCGCAUACGACCUGAGGGUGAAAGCGGGUGAUCGUAAGACCUCGCGCGAUUGGAGCGGCUGAUAUCAGAGUAGUUAUUUGGUGGGGUAAAGGCUCACCAAGCCAACGAUCUGUAGCUGGUCUGAGAGGACGACUAGCCAGACUGGGACGGGGACCCGGCCCGGACACCUACGCGAGGCAGCAGUGCGGAAUUUUGGGAAAUGGGCGCAAGCCUGAUCCAGCCAUGCCGCGUGCGGGAAGAAGGCCUUCGGGUUGUAGACUGCUUUUGUACGGAACGAAAAGGCUUUUUCUAAUACAGGGAGCUCAUGACGGUACCGUAAGAAGAAGCACCUGCUAACUACGUGCCAGCCGCCGCAGUAACAC
rnacentral:rRNA from 1 species